rfam:Alligator mississippiensis ScZkoYb_3.1, whole genome shotgun sequence.
AUGGCCAGCCAUAACAGACUGAAUGCACUGAUGUUGACUAAACAUGAAAGCUAAACAGUCCUGGACCUUGCUAGUACUUUAAUGGGAGACCCCUGGGGAAUCCUGGGUCCUGCAGACA